rnacentral:rRNA from 1 species
AGAGUUUGAUCAUGGCUCAGGACGAACGCUGGCGGCGUGCUUAACACAUGCAAGUCGAACGGUGAACCACUUCGGUGGGGAUCAGUGGCGAACGGGUGAGUAACACGUGAGUAAUCUGCCUCUGACUCUGGGAUAACCACGGGAAACGGUGGCUAAUACCGGAUAUGACGUACGGUCGCAUGGUCUGUGCGUGGAAAGUUUUUCGGUCUGGGAUGGGCUCGCGGCCUAUCAGCUUGUUGGUGGGGUGAUGGCCUACCAAGGCGACGACGGGUAGCCGGCCUGAGAGGGCGACCGGCCACACUGGGACUGAGACACGGCCCAGACUCCUACGGGAGGCAGCAGUGGGGAAUAUUGCACAAUGGGCGGAAGCCUGAUGCAGCGACGCCGCGUGAGGGAUGACGGCCUUCGGGUUGUAAACCUCUUUCAGCAGGGACGAAGCGGAAGUGACGGUACCUGCAGAAGAAGCGCCGGCCAACUACGUGCCAGCAGCCGCGGUAAGACGUAGGGCGCGAGCGUUGUCCGGAUUUAUUGGGCGUAAAGAGCUCGUAGGCGGCUUGUCGCGUCGACUGUGAAAACCCGCGGCUCAACCGCGGGCCUGCAGCCGAUACGGGCAGGCUAGAGUUCGGUAGGGGAGACUGGAAUUCCUGGUGUAGCGGUGAAAUGCGCAGAUAUCAGGAGGAACACCGGUGGCGAAGGCGGGUCUCUGGGCCGAUACUGACGCUGAGGAGCGAAAGCGUGGGGAGCGAACAGGAUUAGAUACCCUAGUAGUCC